AACUAGAUGGCUGAGUUGGAGGCGGUAGAUUGUAAAUCUUUUGACGAGGGGUUACUCCCUCUCUGGUGA
rnacentral:tRNA from 1 species